rnacentral:rRNA from 1 species
CAGUCGCCGCGGUAAAACGAAGGGUGCAAGCGUUAAUCGGAAUUACUGGGCGUAAAGCGUGCGUAGGCGGUUUGUUAAGUCUGUUGUGAAAUCCCCGGGCUCAACCUGGGAAUGGCAAUGGAUACUGGCAGGCUAGAGUGUGAUAGAGGAUGGUGGAAUUCCCGGUGUAGCGGUGAAAUGCGUAGAGAUCGGGAGGAACAUCAGUGGCGAAGGCGGCCAUCUGGAUCAACACUGACGCUGAGGCACGAAAGCGUGGGGAGCAAACAGGAUUAGAUACCCCUGUAGUCCCUGUCUCUUAUAC